rnacentral:tRNA from 1 species
GGGGAGAUGGCUCAGUGGUUAAGAGCACUGGCUGCUCUUCCAGAGGACCUGAGUUUGAUUCCCAGCAUCCACA